rnacentral:lncRNA from 1 species
AACGAAAUUCUUAGUUGUCAUUUCUCUGUACACAAAUUGAAGAUCUACAUGAACGCUUCACGAAAACUUCAGGGGAAGAGCAGCCGCGGUCGGAAGGGGGAGGCGGAUUUUGACGGUGGUGAAGGAGAGGAGCUGCUGCGGAUCAGUCGUUAUUUUCAAUUUGAAGUGAAAUCGCCAGCUUCUUCUAGCGAUUUAUGACUAAAAAGGGUCAAAGAAUGGUAUUAUUAUUAUUAUUUGAUGUGUGUGUGGGCAAUUUCUUUGGUUUUUUUUUUUUUUUUCUUUCUUUUCAUUUAGAAUUAUUAUCUCGACUAGUAAAAAGUUAGUGAAACUAAAUAUAGAUGAGUUAUUUUUUGACUAGUUAUAUGACUUUAAAUCUUUAUUUUUAAAUACUUGACCUAUAAGGUCAUUUAUAAUUAUCUUUAAACUAUUAAAAAAAGGGUCAUUUAUGAUAGUUUUAGCAUAUUAUAUAUGUUUUUAGUAUAUUCAAUUUCAAAUAUCCUCUAAUAAAAUUGAUGUCAAAUAGGGAUACUUUUGAGUUGUUCUUUAAAUUUCGUCUAGGACCCUCAAAUUCUCAGGAAGGGCCAUGUAUGUGCACAACAAUUAUUGAAGCAAGAUCGGUUGACAACAGCACGUUUUGUGCUAUCAUCAUCGAUAUCGGUCUACUACUGUCUUUGAUUGCUUAUUUGGUGGUCAGCAUCCGAAGGUUCGUCUAUUACAUCAUCAUCUCUACGUCUGCUAAGGAGGGAAAUAAUUUUCACAAAGAACCGAACCGAAACCGAAACCUAAUAAGAUUUCCUAAGUUGGAACAAUAUAAAUUGAUAUGUAUCCAGAUUGAAAUGAAUAUACACGUAUGAGACAUGUUUUAUAGAAACUGGGUGCAAAAUUAAUGUGAGUUAAUUAACUAUAAUGUUGGAGUUAUAAAGAUGUAGAUUAGCAAAUAGGAGUUAAUUAACAAUGUCAAAUAAUAUAAUAGUGAUAGUAUUACAGUUUAUACAAGACGAUGAGAACAUUCAAAGUUCAUUUCAUUAUGCACUAAUUAACAUGUUCUCAACUAUUAAAAAAAGAUCCAUAAACAAACAAAUUGCUUAGGAGAAAAAUCCGAAGGUAUCCAAAAUGGUUGUGUGGAGCGGGUCACUCAAAUGGGUCGCCCAGUUGUUGAGUGGUCCUUUUCCAGUGGCCGCAGCCUGGACUGCAAAGCCCAAAAACGCCACCAUUGCAAGGCGGGCGUGCUUGAUCUCAGCCAGCUGAAGGGUUGCCUUCUUUUCCGGGUCAGCUGCAAGGCCCAAUGGGUCGAAGUAGGACCCACCCGGGUAUAGCCUCUGUUCCGGGUCAAGUUCUGCGUUCCUCUGGAACUCGAUGAACCCGAUCACGAGCACCUCGAUAAUGAUCAAUGUGGAUAUGGAGAAUGGAAGUGGUUGCCCAAGGUACGAUGAUCCAUCGAUCAGCUCAACCUAUGCGUACAAAUUGAUCUAAGAUUCUCUCUUCUUUAAUUCAUAAUUAAUUAUGUUAAAUUUAAUUAAUUACCUUUCCGGCGUCUUGCCAGGUGACGCCGGUGAGCCACUCGACGGUCAAGGAGCCGAGAACAGCGAGCAUGGCCCACCUACCAUGGAUGAGCUCGCAUUCUCUGAACCUCUGAAGGCCGAAAACUUCGCUGUACGGCUGGAACGGCGUUGAUUUCACGUCGCUGAGCUCGGUUCUGGUUCCGAUGAUGUCACCGGCCAAGUUCUUGGCUAGGUUCUGGUCAAGGGAGUCCAAAUCGAACUGCAAGUACUCGGCGGGUUUGCCCAAACCGAAUGGGUCGAACCCGUAAUCGCCGACGAGGGUUCCGUCGAGAUAUUCAGGCGACUUUGCUCCUGGGAACCACAAUGGGCGGUCUGGGAUGACUUUCUUUGCUUUCUUUGGUGCAGCUUUCUUGGUUCCGAAUCCGAACCUGGCCUGGACCCGACUCGAUCCGUUCACCUCCGGGAGGCGGGUGCCCAUGAAUGAGGAGGCCGUGGCGGCGGCGGCGACGGUGGUGGCGGACAUGGCGAAAUGUGAUCUUGAGGGAGGAGGGGUGGAGUGUGGUGGAGUGUGUAGAGGGAGAAUCGUAAGCUUGGUUGGGUUAUAGAGCCUGUAAUAAAAGCUGGGAUUAUCGUGAUGGAGAUGGAGAUUUUUUAUUUUUUAAAGGUGGAGAGAUGGUGGCCGUUGGAUGGAAGAAACGAAUCGAUCCAAGGGUGGUGGGAGUCUCUGCCUUAUCUGUUUCUUAUCAGUGAGUGAUUACAAAUGUGUGUUGGAAGGGAAGCUACUUGCCACCUAGGAUUGUUUUAUGUGGUUCUCAGGAUUCCUUAAGAUUGGACCAUAUCAUAAAUCAGAAUAUCUCCAUUUUCCAACCUGUACAUUGUACACAGGUUUUAAGAAUAUAUUUGAUUGUUAAUUCCACACACAUAUUUUCAUACGUACUACACUUGAUCGUAUAAUCUUCCACAUUUAGUUUAUAUACAAUCACACAUACAGAUAUAUGUAAAUAUGUAAGGAUCUAGAUCGUUGAAGUAAGUUCAAUUUAAUUGGAAUAAAACCAAUUAAAUUCCACAAAUGUAAUUAAUUCUUUAUAACACUGUAAUAUUCUGAAAAUUUCAAUAAUGCAAUAAAUAAAAGAAUCUGGAGAAGAUUCUACUACCUGGGGGGACAAUGAUGUAUUCACAAUUUGUAAACUUGAAAUAUAGAAUCAGAUGUACAGAAUGGAAUCUUAUAACUAUACGAUAAUUACAAUCUAUAUACAAAGAAUUAACACCACAACCCUAAUGAUUCACCGAAAAUGAGUAUCGUAAGUAACUACCAUUUGAUCUGGAACAACGAGAGGCAGCUUGUCUAUAUAGAUAAACAGUCUUUUCAGAUUCUCCCUUGCAAUGGUAGAUAAAUCUGUAAUGUCACAAUUGCUAGUGUAGAUCCAAAGUUCCCCAGAAUUCACCCUUUUGAGACUAUCUCUACAGAAUGGACACGACUGCGAUCGAGCACGCCUGUAUGAACAGCAAUUGUAACAACAUGAUCAAUUCAACUAUUUUGUUUUCCUUAAAGAAAAAGUUAGGAAUCUUGAAGCAUGCGAAAACAAUGAGCUUUAUACGAGAUAGAUGGUUACUUAUAUAUCCUCCUUGCUUUUCAGACAAUAUAUUUCGAUAUCCCCCAAUUUUAUAUCCUAAGUUCAGGGGUCAAAACCUAUAUUAUGGCUGCGUAAAACUAAAACAUUUCAUGUUACUUUUAAGAUAAUAGACAGGCAGAAAAGAUACAAUCACAACCAUGUACGGAAUAGAAACUCAACAUAGGGUAAGGUUCAUGUAAUUGUUAAACACUACAACUUCUACGGCCGUUUCAUCGUGUAACACAUCAAUUUUGUAAACAGAAUGGGUUUUACUUACCAGUUCUUGUAGCAGUUCAUACACAAGGAAUGGCUGCAACUAGGCAAGACAACUUUGGUAUUCAUUUCCAUGCAAAUUCCACAUUCUUCCUCUCUCUCUAUUUCAAUUUCAGAGAGCUUACCCUUGUCCAUCUCAUCUCUUCUCCUGUAUUUAGUUGCACAAAUCUUUAUUUGUUUUCUCUCUUCAACGUCCGUGAUUCCUCUAUGGAGUUGCAGCAAAGAGGGGAAUAUUACACCUGACCAAAUGUCUUCCAGUGAAUAAUAAUUUUAUAACAAUAUAUAACUAAACAGCCAAUCCGAGAGCAUGGAAAAUUGCGUAAUUCGAAGUUUUAAGCAUACUCACCAUAAAACUCCCUUAAACUGGCUUUUCUUUCACAAACGGACAUGGUUGUUUUGCCAUCCUCAUAUACCUACAAUUACUACUAAACCAUCAAUUUUCAUGAUCAUCAGAGAACCCGAUAUAUAUCAAGGAAUAUACAAUGCACAAUAUUCGUAAAACACAAGACUACCUUGUAAAUAAGGAUCCUAAUCAGCCCAAGUGCACCAGCAAGGUGACAAUCAGCCCACUGAACCAGGAAUAGAAAAAUGUGGGCACAUGGGCUGUAUGAUAGCCUCAUCUGAAGGCAGGCCCCAUCAUAUUCCCUUGAAUAAUCCGAAGCCCUGUUCAAGAAAACACAGAACACACAACAGAAAGAACCAAAAAAACAUUAAAAUCUAAAUCUAAAUCAUAUUUCCCACCUUUUAAGGAAAAUUGAAGUGUUGAGGCCAUGAGUAACUAUGUGACAAGUUCCAGUCACUUUAAGGUUAAAAAAAUUGGUUAAGACAACUUGAAAGAGGUUGCGUAAUUCAUAAAAAAAGUUGUGAUGACUGAGAGAAUAUUUUAAUCAAGGCAGAAAUAAGUUAGAUGUUAAACUGUGGAUGCUUUCUCAUACAACAAUUCACAUAUAAAUCCACCAACGCACAAUCAAACAAGCUAAAAUGUUUUUUUUGGUUUUGGUUAAUCCACCAACAUACAAUGAAUCAGGUUAGAAUUAUUUAUUGGGGAAAGAGAUAAACCCAAAAGUUCACAGAAGAAGGACAAAAAUCAAAAGGGUCCCCACAAAGAAUUACACGAAGAACAAAAAAUAAAAACUUACAGGGUGUUGGCAUGUUGAAUAUCAGCUUCAAGCGCUUUCAGAGAAUCUUUAAAAGACUUCGUCAUCAACCUCCCCUCUUCUUUCUUCUCUUACUCCCAUUCAAUUUUUCACCUCUAAUUAUUUUUUCCACCUUCUCCUCACUUCUCUUUCUCACCAACUCCCUGAUAAAAAUCCACUAUCUCAAAAAACCCACCUUUUUCAAUUAAAAAAUUUCAAAAAAAAAAUAAAAAUCUUGAACUUCUGUUCGUCCCCAAAAAGGGCAAAAAUUGGGAAAUAUCCAGAAGUAUCGUGAAGGAGUUUGCUUCUGGAGAGGCCGGAAGGGGGUGAGGUGGGGGUUCUUAAAGUCACCAGUGCAUAAAACACUAAGCCUUCUCGCUUGGACCGCACGCUUCAGUUACUGUACUGUCGUUUAAUCAUUUGUUUAAUUAAUUGGGUUUGUUUUUUAUUUUAGCUGACGCAAAGGUUGCUGAAAUUCUGUUAGCGCUGUGUUUGCUUUUGUUUGCCUAAUUAUUUUUCAUUUAUUGACAAAUAUAUCCCAAACCUGACUUUACUCGGUACUCAUCCUAUUUUACAGUUUCUAGACCUCUUCAAAUUUUAAUGCUAUUUUCCAAUUAAUAAGACGACACACUCUUAAAGACGCCAAAAGAAUGAGUUUGACUUCCUCAAUAUAAUAUUGUACUUUUUCAUUAUUUGAAAAGAUUUAUCGCAUUAAAAAUCAGUCCUUAUGAUUAUAGAUUAUUUUGGUGUUGCUGGUGUGUUUUU